rnacentral:rRNA from 1 species
CCUACGGGAGGCAGCAGUGAGGAAUAUUGGUCAAUGGACGAGAGUCUGAACCAGCCAAGUAGCGUGAAGGAUGACUGCCAUAUGGGUUGUAAACUUCUUUUAUAAAGGAAUAAAACGAGGCACGUGUGCCUUUUUGCAUGUACUUUAUGAAUAAGGAUCGGCUAACUCCGUGCCAGCAGCCGCGGUAAUACGGAGGAUCCGAGCGUUAUCCGGAUUUAUUGGGUUUAAAGGGAGCGUAGAUGGGUUGUUAAGUCAGUUGUGAAAGUUUGCGGCUCAACCGUAAAAUUGCAAUUGAUACUGGCAGUCGUGAGUACAGUUGAGGUAGGCGGAAUUCGUGGUGUAGCGGUGAAAUGCUUAGAUAUCACGAAGAACCCCGAUUGCGAAGGCAGCUUACUAAACUGUGACUGACAUUGAUGCUCGAAAGUGUGGGUAUCAAACAGGAUUAGAUACCCGUGUAGUC